GAUGAAGAACGUAGCGAAAUGCGAUAAGUAAUGUGAAUUGCAGAAUUCAGUGAAUCAUCGAAUCUUUGAACGCACAUUGCGCCCGCCAGUACUCUGGCGGGCAUGCCUGUUCGAGCGUCAUUUCAACCAUCAAGCCCCCCGGCUUGUGUUGGGGACCUGCGGCUGCCGCAGGCCCUGAAAAGCAGUGGCGGGCUCGCUGUCACACCGAGCGUAGUAGAUCUCAUCUCGCUCAGGGCGUGCUGCGGGUUCCGGCCGUUAAACCACCUUCAUAACCCAAGGUUGACCUCGGAUCAGGUAGGAAGACCCGCUGAACUUAAGCAUAUCAAUAAGCGGAGGA
rnacentral:misc_RNA from 1 species